UACGUAGGGUGCAAGCGUUAAUCGGAAUUACUGGGCGUAAAGCGUGCGCAGGCGGUUUUGUAAGUCUGAUGUGAAAUCCCCGGGCUCAACCUGGGAAUUGCAUUGGAGACUGCAAGGCUAGAAUCUGGCAGAGGGGGGUAGAAUUCAACGUGUAGCAGUGAAAUGCGUAGAGAUGUGGAGGAACACCGAUGGCGAAGGCAGCCCCCUGGGUCAAGAUUGACGCUCAUGCACGAAAGCGUGGGGAGCAAACAGG
rnacentral:rRNA from 1 species